rnacentral:rRNA from 1 species
GACGAACGCUGGCGGCGUGCUUAACACAUGCAAGUCGAACGGAAAGGCCCUGCUUUUGUGGGGUGCUCGAGUGGCGAACGGGUGAGUAACACGUGAGUAACCUGCCCUUUACUUUGGGAUAACUUCAGGAAACUGGGGCUAAUACCGGAUAUGAGCUCCUGCUGCAUGGUGGGGGUUGGAAAGUUUCGGCGGUUGGGGAUGGACUCGCGGCUUAUCAGCUUGUUGGUGGGGUAGUGGCUUACCAAGGCUUUGACGGGUAGCCGGCCUGAGAGGGUGACCGGACAAAGUGGGACUGAGAUACGGACCAGAGUCCUACGGGAGGCAGCAGUGGGGAAUAUUGCACAAUGGGCGGAAGCCUGAUGAAGAAACGCCGCGUGCGGGAUGACGGCCUUCGGGUUGUAAACAGAUUUCGCCUGUGACGAAGCGUGAGUGACGGUAAUGGGUAAAGAAGCACCGGCUAACUACGUG